rnacentral:lncRNA from 1 species
CGCUGAGACUCGUGGUUAGUUACCGGGCGGGAGCUAGCCGUGAGGUGAUGGAGUUACCGGUGAGUCACCGAGACAUGCUUCUGAGAUUGAUAUCAGUGCCGAGACCAAGACCGAGUGGUGGGUCGCCGGAAGAUCAUCGCUGCUCGAAAGAGGCACCGGGAAGUUGGGGUGCUGGAAGCAUUCAAGUUGGGUCACGGAGAGGUGGAGAGGUUACCAGGAUUCAAAUUUGGUUCCAUUCUGGUAAGUCACCGAGAAUGGAAGAUGUUGCCGAAGACAUGGAUGGGUGAUGCCGGUGAAGAGAAGCUUAGCUACUUGCAGCGGUGACCGUCACCGAGAUGUUGAUGACCUUGCGAAGGAUUAGAAAUCAAAGAGGUCCCGGACGGUGCGGGUAUUCAAAGUGCUGGACAGAUGGUUCGUUGACCAAGGUAGUGAUGAGUGUCGCUCGGACGGGUCUGCAGAACUGUCGGGUUCUAACCGGUGUACGAGAAAGAACGCCGGAAGCAGAAAUGUUAAUGUCCGGGUACCGGAAUAGGGCAUUGGUUACCGGGUAGGUGCCGAAGAUCGAGGUUCGGUGCUGACAAUCCGGGAUGAGGCAUGAUAUGAUUAGGGUACCGGGCUCUUAAUCAUGAAAUGUACAAGAGCGGGCCGGAGUUGGGCUAGUAGGUCCAAGUGUGACCAAGUUGUGCUAGCGGGAUGCUAGAUGCUACGGGCCUAAGUUGCUUAGCAGGGGCCUGGAAGUGAUGAACCCGAUUCAAGUAGAAAUAGAGAGUUGAUGUGCAAGACUAGCUACUCCGGGAAUGGACCUUGAUUUUUGGACUUGCCGCACCUUGGUGGCUUGUGGUACCCGCUGACUCACGUCUCCGGAAGCUCAUGUACCCGAUGACUCGGAGGCUUGGGGAGGAAGGUGAGGAGUGGUACGUGUACCCGGAAGCUCAUGUACCCGUACAUGACCCUUGCUCAAGGUCGGAGGUUCAUACCCUAACUCCUAGGGCCCCUCCUUCUAGCGC